AGUGAACGCUGGCGGUAGGCCUAACACAUGCAAGUCGAACGGCAGCACAGAGGAGCUUGCUCCUUGGGUGGCGAGUGGCGGACGGGUGAGGAAUACAUCGGAAUCUACUCUGUCGUGGGGGAUAACGUAGGGAAACUUACGCUAAUACCGCAUACGACCUACGGGUGAAAGCAGGGGAUCUUCGGACCUUGCGCGAUUGAAUGAGCCGAUGUCGGAUUAGCUAGUUGGCGGGGGAAAGGCCCACCAAGGCGACGAUCCGUAGCUGGUCUGAGAGGAUGAUCAGCCACACUGGAACUGAGACACGGUCCAGACUCCUACAGGAGGCAGCAGUGGGGAAUAUUGGGCAAUGGGCGCAAGCCUGAUCCAGCCAUACCGCGUGGGUGAAGAAGGCCUUCGGGUUGUAAAGCCCUUUUGUUGGGAAAGAAGUCCAUCUGGUUAAUACCCGGGUGGGAUGACGGUACCCAAAGAAUAAGCACCGGCUAACUUCGUGCCAGCCGCCGCGGUAA
rnacentral:rRNA from 1 species